rnacentral:rRNA from 1 species
AGUCAACAUGCCCAGGGGACGUGGAUAACCUCGGGAAACUGAGGAUAAACCGCGAUAGGCCAUGAUUUCUGGAAUGGUUCAUGGCCGAAAUCUAUAUGGCCCCUGGAUUGGACUGCGGCCGAUCAGGCUGUUGGUGAGGUAAUGGCCCACCAAACCUGUAACCGGUACGGGCUCUGAGAGGAGGAGCCCGGAGAUGGGCACUGAGACAAGGGCCCAGGCCCUAUGGGGCGCAGCAGGCGCGAAAUCUCUGCAAUAGGCGAAAGCUUGACAGGGUUACUCUGAGUGAUUCCCGCUAAGGGGAUCUUUUGGCACCUUUAAAAAUGGUGCAGAAUAAGGGGUGGGCAAGUCUGGUGUCAGCCGCCGCGGUAAUACCAGCACCCCGAGUGGUCGGGACGAUUAUUGGGCCUAAAGCAUCCGUAGCCGGUACUGCAAGUCUUCCGUUAAAUCCACCUGCUUAACAGUUGGGCUGCGGGGGAUACUACAGCGCUAGGAGGCGGGAGAGGCAAGCGGUACUCAAUGGGUAGGGGUAAAAUCCGCUGAUCCAUUGAAGACCACCAGUGGCGAAGGCGGCUUGCCAGAACGCGCUCGACGGUGAGGGAUGAAAGCUGGGGGAGCAAACCGGAUUAGAUACCCGGGUAGUCCCAGCUGUAAACGAUGCAGACUCGGUGAUGGGCUGGCCUUGUGCCAGCCCAGUGCCGCAGGGAAGCCGUUAAGUCUGCCGCCUGGGGAGUACGGUCGCAAGACUGAAACUUAA